UGGUUGGUGAUGUAGAAAACCUCUGUGAA
rnacentral:piRNA from 1 species